CCUACGGGAGGCAGCAGUGGGGAAUAUUGGACAAUGGGCGCAAGCCUGAUCCAGCAAUGCCGCGUGAGUGAAGAAGGCCUUCGGGUUGUAAAGCUCUUUUGUCCGGAAAGAAAAGGACUGGGUUAAUACCCAGGUGCCCUGACGGUACCGGGAGAAUAACCACCGGCUAACUUCGUGCCAGCAGCCGCGGUAAUA
rnacentral:rRNA from 1 species